rnacentral:misc_RNA from 1 species
UGAUUUAAUUAAUUUAAACAGACAUCUUUGAUUAUGUAUAAAUUAAUGUACAUGUACAUGUAACUGCUUGAUAUAUGAGAUUCCAAAGCAAGAACUAUAUGUAUACAUUAAUGUAUAUGCUUGAUAUGUGAGAUUCCAAAGAAAGGGCUAUAUGUAUAGAUAAAUGUUUAUGCUUGAUAUGCAAGAUUCCGAAGAAAGAACUAGAUGGAGUAUUGGGUAGGCAUUUAUGUGUAAUGGUCCCUGUAUUUGAACUUUCUAGGUAUAUUUAUUAUAAUUAUGUAUUUGUUGUUUAUACAAAAAGUUAUAUCUUGUAUGUGUAUUUAUACCUUUGUUUUAUAAUUCUUCCUUACUCCAUGCUUUUGUGAUAUAUUUUAUUAGGAUGUUUUUUUUAAAAUAAAUUUGAUGUAAG